rnacentral:rRNA from 1 species
GUAAAGUGGCGACCGGGUGAGUAACACGUGACUAACCUACCUUCGAGUGGGGGAUAACAUCGGGAAACCGAUGCUAAUACCGCAUAACAUCCCGAGAUCAAAGCAGCGAUGCGCUUGAAGAGGGGGUCGCGGCUGAUUAGCUAGUUGGCGGGGUAACGGCCCACCAAGGCGAAGAUCGGUAGCCGGCCUGACAGGGCGCACGGCCACACUGGAACUGAAACACGGUCCAGACUCCUACGGGAGGCAACAGUGGGGAAUUUUGCGCAGUGGGGGAAACCCUGACGCAUCAUCGCCGCGUGGAGGAUGAAGCCCCUUGGGGUGUAAACUCCUUUCGACCAACACCAUAAUGACGGUACUGGUGGAAGAAGCACCGGCUAACUCUGUGCCAGCAGCCGCAGGAAUACAGAGGGUGCGAGCGUUGUUCCGAAUUAUUGCGCGUAAAGGGCGCGUAGGCGGCGCGACGAGUCACUUGUGAAAUCUCCUGGCUUAACUCGGAGGCCUGCAAGCGAAACUGUCGUGCUGGAGUAUGGGACACGUGCGUGGAAUUCCCGGUGUAGCGGUGAAAUGCAUAGAUAUCGGGAGGAACACCUGUGGCGAAUUCCGCGCACUGCACCAUAACUGACACUGAUGCGCGAAAGCUA